AUCAAAUCUGGUGGUUUUCCGAGGCUUGACUGGGUUGCUCCGUUCUUCCUUCUUGUUGUCCUCGCCGAUCAAUACUUCAAUGAACACUCAAUUGCUGCUCCAAAAUUGUUGAAGAACACCCCUUUUCCAAGGGAAGAAAUCGGCACAAGAGCAAGGGAAUUGAAAUGGAAAAGUGAGAGAAAAAGAAUGAGAGAUGAGAGAAGUGUUGUGAAAUGAAUGAGGAAUGA
rnacentral:lncRNA from 1 species